AUGAACGCUAGCGACAGGCUUAACACAUGCAAGUCGAGGGGCAGCACAGGUAGCAAUACCGGGUGGCGACCGGCGCACGGGUGAGUAACGCGUAUGCAACUUACCUAUCAGAGGGGGAUAACCCGGCGAAAGUCGGACUAAUACCGCAUGAAGCAGGGGCCCCGCAUGGGGAUAUUUGCUAAAGAUUUAUCGCUGAUAGAUAGGCAUGCGUUCCAUUAGGCAGUUGGCGGGGUAACGGCCCACCAAACCGACGAUGGAUAGGGGUUCUGAGAGGAAGGUCCCCCACAUUGGUACUGAGACACGGACCAAACUCCUACGGGAGGCAGCAGUGAGGAAUAUUGGUCAAUGGGCGCGAGCCUGAACCAGCCAAGUCGCGUGAGGGAUGAAGGUUCUAUGGAUCGUAAACCUCUUUUAUAAGGGAAUAAAGUGCGGGACGUGUCCCGUUUUGUAUGUACCUUAUGAAUAAGGAUCGGCUAACUCCGUGCCAGCAGCCGCGGUAAUACGGAGGAUCCGAGCGUUAUCCGGAUUUAUUGGGUUUAAAGGGUGCGUAGGCGGCCUUUUAAGUCAGCGGUGAAAGUCUGUGGCUCAACCAUAGAAUUGCCGUUGAAACUGGGGGGCUUGAGUAUGUUUGAGGCAGGCGGAAUGCGUGGUGUAGCGGUGAAAUGCUUAGAUAUCACGCAGAACCCCGAUUGCGAAGGCAGCCUGCCAAGCCAUGACUGACGCUGAUGCACGAAAGCGUGGGGAUCAAACAGGAUUAGAUACCCUGGUAGUCCACGCAGUAAACGAUGAUCACUAGCUGUUUGCGAUACAGUGUAAGCGGCACAGCGAAAGCGUUAAGUGAUCCACCUGGGGAGUACGCCGGCAACGGUGAAACUCAAAGGAAUUGACGGGGGCCCGCACAAGCGGAGGAACAUGUGGUUUAAUUCGAUGAUACGCGAGGAACCUUACCCGGGUUUGAACGCAUUCGGACCGAGGUGGAAACACCUUUUCUAGCAAUAGCCGUUUGCGAGGUGCUGCAUGGUUGUCGUCAGCUCGUGCCGUGAGGUGUCGGCUUAAGUGCCAUAACGAGCGCAACCCUUGCCACUAGUUACUAACAGGUAAAGCUGAGGACUCUGGUGGGACUGCCAGCGUAAGCUGCGAGGAAGGCGGGGAUGACGUCAAAUCAGCACGGCCCUUACAUCCGGGGCGACACACGUGUUACAAUGGCGUGGACAAAGGGAUGCCACCUGGCGACAGGGAGCGAAUCCCCAAACCACGUCUCAGUUCGGAUCGGAGUCUGCAACCCGACUCCGUGAAGCUGGAUUCGCUAGUAAUCGCGCAUCAGCCAUGGCGCGGUGAAUACGUUCCCGGGCCUUGUACACACCGCCCGUCAAGCCAUGGGAGCCGGGGGUACCUGAAGUACGUAACCGCAAGGAGCGUCCUAGGGUAAAAUUGGUGACUGGGGCU
rnacentral:rRNA from 1 species